UUCCCAAGGUCAAAAACCAGUGUGCGGCUUGGUCAGGAUUUGAAUCGGAGACUGUGAUGUCAAUGCCCAUAAUGCUUUUGUUGCACCCCGUCGCCCCGACCUAUUACCCAUCUACAUCUCCCCUCUGUAUGUUCCUGCCCCUGUGCCACACUGAUGGAGGUGCCAGGACAUCUUCCCCCUCUAACUUACCCCUUGAAAUCUGACUUCUCUGAACAUACAACUUUCAUGGUGUCUCCAGGAACAUUGUGUAGUCCUUCUAUUUGAGUUCACAUACCACUUUCUUUAUUCUUUGCAUAGGCUGCUUUGAACCCACAUGGAGUGACCUGCUGCUGUGCCUACAUCUUCAGAAAGCGUACAAGGAACCUGAGCUAGGCAGUGGAAAUCAAUAAUGGUGACACUGACGACUUCUAGUUUUGUGUUCUGGAGGCUGGGAAGUCCAAGAUCAAGUUUCCAGCAGAUUGGGUAUCUGGUAAGAACCUGCUUCCUGGUUCACAGAUGGCCACCUACUUCUUGUAUCCUCACAUGGAAAACGGCACUAACAUAUGAAGUGGCAUUGACUGGUGGGAGAUUGAAGAAGCAGUAACUCUUUUUGAAAGGAGGCAGAAAUGACCAUGAGGCCUGGUGGUCUCAGAGGUAUCAAGAGGAGGGUGGCAGCUGCUGGUGGACACAGUGGUACUGGUUCCAGGAGGAAGCAGCGAAAGCUACUGGGAGCAUCAGGACCAGCAGAAGUGGCCAUG